GUGGAAGGGGGCUUGCUCCCGAUAGCGGUAGUCCAGUCAACUAUUUGGUGACUGGCAUACCGUAAUCGGGGGCAAGCCCCCUCCCAC
rnacentral:misc_RNA from 1 species